AGCAGAGUAACUAGUGGCUUAAGAGUAAUUAGGCAUUACUUGGAUGUGGGAAGGAAAGAAGAAGAGAUGAGGAAAGGGCGCUAGUUGUCAGCGUCCACUGUACGUUUUCAGCCGAUCUGUGACAGAAUGGGGCAUUCUCGCGAUACAACAGAAGCUUUUGUGUUUGUGUGUAUUUGCAAUUGUCGUCGUGAUAGCAGGCUUCCUCGGUUAUUCCUUACGUCUCGGCGCAAGCUUCGCUGUUGGUAAAAUAGACGAAACAUGCAAGCGCUUGAAGCAGUACGUAGGAAAAUCGCGAUUUUUCAGGACUCGGGCUUGAAAGUGAGACAUUUUUUUUUUAAUAUGUGGUGUCAUUUGUGUCUUUAUUAACGUUUCAUCACAUGAAGCGCGAGAAAAUAUCGAUGGUUUUGAUGAGUUAAAACUAUCUUUUAUCACCAAAAUCAGGUGUUUUUGUUGAACUUGAAGAUAGAAGAUUAGAUAUUUCCUAAAACCCACAAGUAUCAAAUAUCAUCAGUACCACACACAUAGUCUCAAAUAAACUAAAGUAAGCCUCUUACUUACGAAAAAAAAUUGCUCGUUUCGUUACUAUCGUGACCGUUGUUUGUUAGAAAAUAGCGUAUUUUUGCGUUUCCCCCGGCAUAAUCGUUCGACAGAAGAUUCGUGAUACCAACGUGGGACUUGUCAGAAUCCCGAAUGCCUUCGUUAAUACUCAAAGGUUUCCGCCAUGUUGUUUUUCUUCUUUGAUCAUUUGACGUCAUGGAGACUUGCAGACAGCUAAGUAGACCUUCGAUUCCUGCAGUUCCUUCAUCUGUACCUCCUCCACCACCACCACCGUCUCACGUGGGGGCCAUUACCCAUCUACCUUUCUGUCCUCAGGGGCCGUAUGUUGCACGAUCUGCUCGACGAGCUGCAGAUUCGGUUUCUUGGUGGAAGACAUGGUUAAGGAAAUAUGUGUUGUUGUGUUUGAUAUCUGGUGGACUUUUGAUGCUGUUAGGGAUUAUCUUCAUUGGAAUCUAUCUCACCCUUCGGACCUACACCUCAUCUUUACAGUUCUUUGAAACGGUUCCAACUUAUGUUCCUGCAGUGGUGCUUAUAAUUACAGGAUUGAUGGUGAUGUGUUUUGCCAAGAGAAGAAAUCGAUAUGCUUAUUUGAUCAAACUGGCAGGAGGGUGUUGCUUGAUUUGUGCUCUCUUGUGUGUGGUCAUCACAGUGACCACAACAGUUGUCCACAUGAACAGACUGCAGACCCUUCAUAAAUGUGUUUACACUCCAAUGGCUAAAACUUGUACCUGUGUGUCAGCAAUACCAGAUCCUGGCACAUCAUCAGAAACUCCUCGAUUUGUGUUCAACAAUACCCCCAAUUGUGAUGUCGUCCAUGGCAGCCUGUCAACAAGCCUACGAGUUUUGUUUGGCCUCUCUGUUAUUGGUAUUUUAAUCUGUAUUUUCUCCUCCAUGUUAGUCUACCAGCUUCUGAGUCAUGAGAAGAAAAAAAUUUACUGGGAACAGUUGGAGUUAAGAAGAAGGUUCAUCUAUGCCCGCCAUGCAAAUCAUCCACUUUGCAGCUGUUACGAGGACCUGUAUCCAUGGCCUCUGUGGGAAAUGUUGGAUUACCGUUUUCUUAGUGCUCAACAUUUGAACUCAACUCCUCUCACCCAAGAAGAAUCUCCUCCUCAAGUAACACAAGUACUGGCAAACAGUGCACAAAGUGGUGGUCAGCGACAAACUAACUGGAGAUGGCUUCCCUGGCCUUUGCGUAGUGCUACUAACAGAAUUAUCAACACCCGUGGCUCUACUAGCAAUGUGAGAAGUAGUUUUAUCAGAAGACUAAUUUCUAGAGAAAUAUGGAGGGAGGAAACAACUUCUCCUUCGACAUCCACCCCACAAGAGUCUCCCCUACGACCAGAUUCUCCCCAGGCAUCUCCAUGGAGAAAUAAUACUGGUCACAUGUUUCGUCCUCAUGUACGUGCUACAGCAGCUCAAGAGCGCUUUGGUGCCUAUUCCAGACCUACAGGUUCAACUAGACCAUUAGUCACACAUAGAAGAACUCGCUCUAAUGAUGGUAUUUUUCACCAUUUACAGAUCAACUCUUCAGCUCGAUAUAGCCCUUCCUUCGCACCAACUGAAAAUUUCGAGAUCCCUCGACACAUGUGGGGCCCACCACCUCCUUAUUCUCAUCCACCUUCUAAUGAAAACUUUUCAGGUUUACAGUUUGGUUCAGGGAACAUGAGACAAAAUGGUUUCUCACAUGAACAAGAAACCAACUUGGGUAUACCUCCAAAUACUACAGUUGUGACUGUGGAAUCUCAAGUACAUGAACCCGAAACAAAUGGUGCUGCAUCCAGUUGCUCCAAAAUAAGCACACCUUUGUCAGAAAGGAAGUUAAUGUGUCACUUCUCUUCAUCUGAUGGAAUUACUCUGACCAUAAGUAACAAUUUAUUGAAUAUCUGCAACAAUGAUGAUGCUGAACUGGAUGAAGAUAAACAAGAUAAUUCCUGCAUUGUUGAAGUGCAUGUACCUUACAUUGUUCAAAAAGAUGACAUAAUAUUUAAUACCCUACCAACCAGAAGUUCAAAGAAAAAAGACCCAAAUCUAUUCAAAUCUUUAUCUAAUAUUCCCUUGUGUUUAUCAAAGAAACUUAAUGAAAUGAAUCAAGAGAAACAUCACUCUAAUAACCUUUCCAUGAUUGAGUCAUGCUGUGAGAUUAAGAAUGUUUUGCAAUGUUCUGUGGAGGACCUCUCCAAGUUUCAGGAGAUAAAAAACGCAAUCUGUGAUAAAUUAACCUAUAAAACAUUUUCUGAAAGAGACAUGUAUGAUGAAGACAGCCAAAAUUUCUCUUCUGCAACAGAUCCUUCUCCAUCUUCCUUAAGUUUCCAAGCAACCUUUAUAGAACACCCUUCAGACUUUAAAUCUAGUAUCAUGAUAGCUACUAGUCCUUCUACUCCUGUUACUGAGAAUGUAACUCUUAAUGAUAAAAUGUAUGCCCAAUCCAUGCCAAACCUAAGCCUAUCCAACUCUCCAACAGCUGCAAGUAUACUGUUUCAAAUACCUUCUAGUGAUAAUACUUCAACCUCUCAAGAUUUUGCAGAUUUUGAUUUAGAUGAAGACAGCAGCCCUCUGAAUUUUGAUAGCCUUUCUUCUGAUGCAACUUCUGCACCAUCCCUUCCAGAAGAUGAGCAACACUUUUAUGGAAGUAACCAGUUGUUGUUCAACCAUCAAGACAUUCCUAAAGAUGAGCACCAUCUUCACUGUGAUGAAUCUCGGCUACCUGGAGAAAUUGGGUGCAAAUUUUCAGGUUCAUCAACAGCUGUAGCAUCUGGUCACACACUUCCAAUAGAUAAGAGUCAAACGUCCAUGAGGGAUACUUCUGAACAACAAGAUUAUCUUUCAUGCCCCGAGUCUGAAGCUAUAUGUGAAGACAGAGGCUACUCAGACCGUGGCUCAAUUGAACCAAAGUACUUAUCUACAGAUAUUAGAUCUCCUUCUCAAAGUGUUCCUGGUCCCAGUGAAAAUACUCCAACCUUGUUUAGAGAGAGUUUUAUUGUAACAAUCAAAAGUGUGAAUGUGUAAUUAAAAAAACAAACAAAAAAUAAUAGUGAUGAUCCAUUUUACUCUUUUUUUGUUGAAUAGUUAAAAAAAUUAAAGGUUCUUGUGAGAACAACUUUUUAUGAUCCAAGUUUCUGAGGAAUAAAUAAAUAUGCCAAGAACAUACACAAAAAAAUCACACAUGGAGUUGCUCCCCCAAAUUAAAGAAAAACAUAUACAUAAAUAGAUGCCUCUCAGAACUAAAGCAUCCAUCUGAUGAGAUGUGAAUAGCUGUAUAAUGAGCUUGAUAAUUAAAAUCAAACUCUGAAAUUGUGCAGAAGUGCUUUUGAUAUUUUGGAUACUAGUUAACUUAUAUGUACAUAUAUAUUUUUUCUGAUUAAAUAAUGUAGUGAAUAAUUAACAGACAGAGUCCAAUUCUAAGCACUUAAUGAAGUAAAGCAGGUUGAUUAAGUUUUAUUUUCAGUUUUUAUAGUUUAAAUAAAUUACCAUUGCUACAUUUUUUCAGUUGCUCAUGCUGCUAAGGAACAAGUUAAAUGUACAUUCAAAUACGUAUAUAAUGUAAAUCCUUAUUAAUUCAACUUUUCAACAAAAAUUUUAACCUCCAUUAACCAGUGAUACAACCGAUUAGUUAAAAUUCAGGUAAAGAUAAUGAUUAACUGGACAUUUGAGCAAAAUUCUCAUACUUUUUCUGUAACUCUAGGAACUCGCCAGUUUAUCAUGAAUCAAGAUUUUCCAGUGAACAAUGUCUGUUUUUAGUAUGUGCCAACAACUGACAAUGAUAUUCCGACACAAAAUUUUAACAUCUUGAUUACAGAGAACAUGUUUGUUAACAAAAGCGUUAAACUUAUGUUGCCUGAUAAUUAGACCAAAUAUUAGAAGUUAAUUAAUAAGGAAUUUAAUCACAUAAGGAAACUUGAAAUUAUAAAUCAAGAAAAUUUAUUCUUUGUAUAAUAAUUUUACGAUAUUAAAAGGAAAUAAUUUGUAUUACUGUACAGUACUUAAGUGAUUAAAGAUUAAUAUUGUAGUACUUUUAUUCACUUGUCUUUCUAAAUGAAGAAAAUUAUAAAUCAUUCGCUUUUAUACAGUAUAAUAAUUUAUUUAUUUUCCUUGCCCACUAAAUAUCUACCACUGUUAUUACAGUGAUCGAAUUGUUCAUUUUAAGUAACUAUAAAAUGGUUACAAAUGUAUAAAAAAAAGCAAAGAAUUGCAGGAUGUAAGAAAUCUGGUUAAGUCCAUUUCUAUAGUGUAUAUGAACCAAUCCUUAAACACCUUGUAAUGAAUAAAGAAAUUUUCAAAAUUAAAAACUGUACAUAAAAUAUUAAUAAAUGAAAAUGCAUAUUUUAUCUCACCUUCUAAUAUCUAACUGAUAGUUUUUUUUUAAUUACAAUGUUUGGAAUAGUUUUAUCCAAAAGGUGUUUUGAAUGUAUAUUUAUCUACUUACAACAAUAUACAAUGAAGGAACCUUCUUGUAUUAAACCAGUAUCUUCUUUUGAAUAAUCUUUUGUGUGAUGUAUUCUCAGAUCAAAAUAAACUGAUACAUAUUACACGAGAUGUUUUUCAUCACAUGCACAUAUAUAUUUAAAUUUUCUAACGGAACAAAACAUAAACCUUAAAUCAAGAAAGCUGAGCUUUAUGAAGAUGCCUCUUCUAGUCAAAUAUAAAAUUAAUUAAUCUAUACAAGUUUUAUGGCAGUAUUAAAUAAAGGUUUUUAAAAUUUGUAAUGGAAAGUGCUUAUGCAACAUGUGAAUGACAAGGAAGAAGUAAAUUUGAACAACUAAACUAGUUCUUUCAUAUUUCAGUAAGCAGACUUACACUAAUGUAUUACUAUAACCUAAUGAAAAGUACUUUGAUUUUAACUCUCUAGUCAGUUUGUUCAAGCUUCUAUUGAUUUAACACAUAUUUAAAGAAGUAAAAAUGUAUGAAAAUCUAAGCUCCUUUUUGGUGACAAAAUCCUGAUAUUUAAAUCAAACAGUUAACUAAUUGAGUAUUACAUCUUCUGCUGCUCAGAUAAACUAAGCCUACUCAAUGACAAAUGUCACAAUUAUCAAUAUUACAAUUCAAUCAUGCUUUAUGUACCAGUUUCCAGUACCAUAAAGUAUGCAACUUUUGAGAUUUUUAUCAAUCUCUAGUGCACGAAAGGACAUAGAAUGGGGCCCAUGGGAAAAAAAUAAAUAAAUAAUGAAAGUGGUCCUUGGUGGUGAAAAGGUUGGGAAUCACUGCUCUAGUGGCUAAAAGUGUUUAUUUCCCAAGAGCCACAGUAAAUGUAGGUCUUUCUGAACACCAUUUUGAUUGCAGUGAUACUUUUAUCAUUCUUUCACCUUUGACUGAGGUAUUUCAGUUUGAAAAGCACAAAAUUCUUAUAACCGCCAUGUGGCCUUAUGUAGUUUCAAUGUCAAUAACCAGAAGCCAGGUAUAACAAGCUGAACUACUGUGCAUAAUCCAUUCUCUCUAGAAAUUGUUCAAAGAAAGGAAGCGUAUUUAGGUUAUUGUAUUGACCAUUUCAAAGUUCCUUCAGAAUCUCUAAAGCUCCUUUUGUACAAUAAUGUGGUACUUCCAGAUAAACUGUUUUCCUCAACAGAUUCAUUAAAACCCACAACUGAGAGAUCUGAUAGAAAAUGUAUUACAGAGUUAAAAUGAGUCAUCUUGGUUUGACUAAAGUUUAGAGGAGAGAAAGAGACUGGACACUAUGUUAAAAAUAGUGAAAACAAUCUUUAUUCAGUAAAAACGAAGCACGCAGGUGGAAGACAGCACCUUUACAGGAGAUUGAAAACUUUCAUAAGUCUAUGUUCUCUAAGUUUGUUGGAAGCUGGUGAAAAUCUGUUCCAGAUUGAAAAAACAGUAUUAUACAAAUAGUUCUACAAUGUUAUCCAUGGUGCAUGGAUUACUUACUUGCAGUUCGUCAUUUCAAUCAAAAAUAUGGGUGGAUGUCUCCUGAUCCAGUAGAAAACAUCUCGGACACUGCCAGCUUUCACUUAGCAUGUUCUACCUUACAGCAAUCUUUCUAACAAUGAUGCACAUGACACUCACAGGAGAGUGACCCAGAACAAAAGAUUAUUAAAUUAAAAAGAACUACAUUCCACAGCAUGCGUGAAUCUUUUUGAAACUUUUAGGUGAACUUCAGUAAGAGUUCACCUUACUAGAAACUGGAGGUAAACAAAAAACCUAGUAUACUUGCAUACUACAAUAACAUGGAUGACCAGCUAUUCGCAGAAAACUAGACAGUUUCAUUCUAGUGCAUGUAGAUUUCAGGUUACCUGAAGCAGUUAGUAAACAAGUUUAAUGUCCCCAUGUUAAUAUUUGGGGUAAGUGAUCUUCUCAAUUGACUAUAUGGACCCACAAAACAUUUCAUCCUUCAUAGUUAAGUUUGUGUUUCUGAACAUGGUUUUAGAUCGUCUCACUUUCAUCAUCUGCCCUAGGUGUUUGCUGAGGUCUUAGGCUACUAAUCCAAACCAUUUUUUCCUCAUGUUUUUGCUGAAAUCUGUUCAUUCUCAGAAGCACAUCUUUUUCUUAGAUCUUUUUUGUCUUGAAAGAUCAGAAUAGAAAACCAUGAUUGAUAUCUUACUGAAACACCGAAAAUUCCUGCACCUAUGGGCCUGAGCCCCAAAUCGUUUAAGCACCUAGCAAUGCCUCUGGUGGUAAAAUCUCAAUUAUUCUGCUAAAAAAUUGUAACUGCUAUUUUCUUCUAUUGUGGGUAACCACCUCCUACCCUAUGUUUGUGAUACUACCAUAACUAACAAAAUAAAUACAUAUUUCAUUUUUUAAACCCAAUUGCCUUAACAGUUACAUUAAUUCUGUUUCAGAGCAACUAGUCACAUAUAGUGAAUGGAAGUUUAUACAUGAAGCAUUGCAGGCAUAAGCUCCCCUGACUUCCCUAAAUUUAAAUUGCUUCCCAAAUGCAAGGCUUGUAAGUAGUAGUUACAUGUCACAGAAAGUGAAUCCCUUUUACUCUGUAGUCCUAUGUCUCAGUAAGGUGCAUUUUAUCAUUCCAGCAUUGCAGUUUUUACUAAACUACAUAUAUGUAGAAACUGAUACUCUAAAUCUCUGUUUCAGACUGAUUACAAGCCUUCAUCAGAAGUAUAAACUGUAUAUUAUGCUUCUAACAAAUGACCACAAUCAUUCCAAAAGCUAAGGUUUAAAAUAAAUAGAUCCGUAUUUCUGAAUGUACUAAUUUGAACACCAGUAUUUGCCACAAA